GUAUGACCUGUGAAUGUACUGUUGAUAUCUUGGGAAAUAGAGAUAGUUCCCAUUUAGUAUGCCACCAGUUUAACACCUGUUCAAAUUUACCUUGUACUCUGUGCAUUUUUUUGGUUUUAAUUCUCUUGUUUCCUGUUUUAUUUUGAAAAUGCUGCUCUCGUGUGUCGAAUCUAGCUUUUCAGUUCCUACUUCCAGUAGUUUUCCGUUCCUUUCCCUCACCUGUCCUCCUCCCGCCUCCCUCCACCUGUUCCUGAUCCCCUCGUUAGUAUAUCUGUAUAUAGUCAUAGUUCCCCCUCAUGUUCCCUUUUGUCAGUUGGCUCUGUCUUCCCCUGUGAUGCCAGCCUGUGUUCUCCACCAGUGUCUCCUCCUGUGUCCACCCGUUGCCUGUGAUCAUCUCCAUUCUCUCCUGCUACCUCUGGGCAUUACUGUACCUGUGUAUCUGCCCGUGAGUAAACCUCUUCAAGUCCAUGCCAAACGCUAGAUGAUGAAAGGCACUUCUCCUUCAAACGUGUCGGAAUCUCACAGCCAGUGAACAAACUACGUAUAGGCAGAACAAAAGGAAUAAAAAGGUUCGAGCCAUCAUCGCGAGGAUGACCUUUAAAAAGACUCACCGUGCGUUCAGACUCAACAGGAGAGCGCACACUGCUUCAAACACCAGAUGGUCAAGAGGAUUGUCCCUGUCAAGGUCCCCACAUAUGGGAAAUUCAUGCCAGGUUCCGUCGGGACCAGAAGAAAAGAGACAUGGCAUGAUUCUGUGCAGUGCCUAGAGGUAGGAGAAUCAGGAUGGAAGCCGUCACGUUGGGGUGCUUCCCCUAGAGGACGUUUUUUCAGGUGGCCAGGUGUAUUUUCAAACGCCUGACGAUGUGCAGGUUCACCCCUGGCCAACCUGGGGUGUAAAUCCAGUAUAAAUCGCAGAUUAGCAGCCUGAGAGGAGCAGAGCGGGAGCUGAGCAGUCGCAGGGGUGUCUCUAAAAAGACCAGUAGAGGCUUUGGAGAAUUACAGCAGGGGAUCCUUUUCUGAGUGUGUGUGUGUGUGUGUGUGUGUGAUUUGUACCCAUUUGUACAUUAAAAUAAAUCAGAAUAAUUAUAUAAUACCUGCAUUUCAUUAAGCAGGGUUAUCUGUUCUGUAAAUGUUAAGUGUUAUUUUGCACUUUUUUGGUCAAUGUUAUAAAUCUUAC